AAUUGUUGUUUGUUGUGGAAACUAAGAACUAUAUAGAUCAUAAUAAAUUCUAGUCGAUGUUAGUUAAACUAAUUGCCUUUGUUUUACAACUAUCUAGGGUGAUAAGUGGUCCAGCAUUACUUGGGUCGAUCAUCUUCUCUGACACGGGAGGAAGCAUAGGCCGAAAAGGUGGUCAUUGUACCUGUAGGAUACACAUCCAGCAUCCAGCCAUUCGGCUUUUUUGUGAUUCUUUUUCGAUUAAACAAUCAUGAAGCUUCUAUACAUUAGGUUGUCAUACGAACAUAGUAACUAUUAGGUCUAAUUGGAUGUUGUUACUACACAUUUAUCUCUGCUUAGUUGUUUAGAUUUAGCAACAAAUUUGGCUAGGUUACUAAAGAAAAGUAAGGAGGAGUUUGUCUAGAAGAUAUAAAAUAAAGGUAAAUCGAUAUUGUUGUUUCCUUGUUUCUUUUGUUUAGACUUUUUAUUUUUUUAUUUUUCUUAUUUCGAUACAAUUUCAUGUCACGUGGUGUACUUUUGGGAACUAUGAACACGAUACCUUUUAUGUAUUUUGCUA